rnacentral:pre_miRNA from 1 species
UUAACCCAAUUUUGUAUGGAGUUGGAACGUUUGCCGUUAAGGGCACUUUUCCAACUGCAUACAAAUUUGUGUUA